AUUGAACGCUGGCGGCACGCCUAACACAUGCAAGUCGAGCGGCAGCGCGAUAUGUAGCAAUACAUAUUGGCGGCGAGCGGCGGACGGGUGAGGAACACGUAGGAACCUACCCUCGAGUGGGGGAUAACCAAGGGAAACUUUGGCUAAUACCGCAUGAACUCGAGAGAGCAAAGCUGCCGCAAGGUGGCGCCGGAGGAGGGGCCUGCGGCCGAUUAGCUAGUUGGUUAAGUAAGAGCUAACCAAGGCGAUGCUCGGUAACUGGUCUGAGAGGACGACCAGUCACACUGGGACUGAGACACGGCCCAGACUCCUACGGGAGGCAUCAGUGGGGAAUAUUGGACAAUGGGCGAAAGCCUGAUCCAGCCAUGCCGCGUGUGUGAAGAAGGUCUUCGGAUUGUAAAGCACUUUAAGUUGGGAGGAAGGGUCGUUACCUAAUACGUGACGAUCUUGACGUUACCGACAGAAUAAGCACCGGCUAACUCUGUGCCAGCCGCCGCAGUAAUAC
rnacentral:rRNA from 1 species